UGCGUGGUAGAGCAGCGGUCAGCUCGUCAGGCUCAUAACCUGAAGGUCGGCGGUUCGAAUCCGUCCCUCGCAUCCA
rnacentral:tRNA from 2 species